ACACGUAUGAAAGACAAGCUGAAAGACUUUUCUCAAUGAUGUAAGUGGUGGUGCAUGGUCGUUCUUAGUUCGUGGAUUGAUUUGUCUGGUCUAUUCCGAUAACGAGCGAGACCCCGACGUUCCUAAUAGGGGCGGCAGCCCGACUCGUCUGCUUGCGGACUUGUUAGCAGCCGCCUAAUUAGCUUCUUAGACGUAUCAGAGCCGAUAAGGUUCUUGAAAUGGGUUAAUAACAGGUCAGUCAUGCCCUUAGAUGUUCUGGGCCGCACGCGCGUUACAAUGGUAUACAUUAGAACGUGCUCUCAAGGGCGUUUCCGCAGCCGACGGGUUGCGGUAACCCCUAAUCUCUCCCUUGACUGGGACAGACUAUUGCAAUUAUUGGUCUCCAACGAGGAAUUUUUAGUAGUCGCAGGUCAUUAACCUGCGACGA
rnacentral:rRNA from 2 species